rnacentral:rRNA from 1 species
GUACACGCUGUGACUAGCAUAUCAAUAAGCGGAGGAAAAGAAACUAACAAGGAUUCCCCUAGUAACGGCGAGUGAAGCGGGAAGAGCUCAAAUUUGAAAUCUUAAAGGGUUUCCCUUUACGAAUUGUAGUUUAAAGAAGUGUUUUCUGUUGAGGUUUUGGUAAAAGUUCUUUGGAAUAGGACAUCAUAGAGGGUGAGAAUCCCGUAUUUGACCUUUACUUUCAACUUUGUGAUACACUUUCAAAGAGUCGGAUUGUUUGGGAAUGCAGUCCAAAAUGGGUGGUAAAUUUCAUCUAAAGCUAAAUAUUGGCGAGAGACCGAUAGCGAACAAGUACCGUGAGGGAAAGAUGAAAAGAACUUUGAAAAGAGAGUUAAACAGUACGUGAAAUUGUCAAAAGGGAAGCGUUUGACACCAGUGUUGUUUUUCUGAAAAUCAAUUAAAGAACUGUUUAUGCUAAGCUGUUUAGACUUUAUCAGCUAAUCUGUUUAGUUUUGAGCUUUUCUUUAAUGCACUUUUCAGUUAACAAGUCAACAUCAAUUUCUUUUGCUGUAAAAAAGCUUGAGGAAGGUGGCUUGAGAUUCGUCUUAAGUGUUUAUAGCCUCUUGCCUAUGCAGUCGGAGAGAUUGAGGUCUGCAGCGUAGAUCCUUCGGGGCUAAAUGCAUUUGUGCUAAGUUAUAGCAUUUUAUAGACAACUUGUUGACUAUGAUUUGUCUUGUAGCUUACUCGCUUAUGUUAUUUUACCUACGCUUAGGAUGUUGAGUCGUAGAGCACGCAGG